rnacentral:rRNA from 1 species
CCUACGGGUGGCAGCAGUGAGGAAUAUUGGUCAAUGGGCUUACGCCUGAACCAGCCAAGUCGCGUGAGGGAAGACUGCCCUAUGGGUUGUAAACCUCUUUUGUCAGGGAGCAACGCCGGCUACGUGUAGCCGGACUGAGAGUACCUGCAGACAAAGCAUCGGCUAACUCCUUGCCAGCAGCCGCGGUCAUACCGAGGAUGCGAGCGUUAUCCGGAGUUAGUGGGUUUAAAGGGUGCGUAGGCGGAAUGCCAAGUCAGCGGUAAACUCCCGGGCCUCAACCUGGAUCCGCCGUUGAAACUGGCGUUCUGGAGUGGGCGAGAAGUAUGCGGAAUGAGGGGUGUAGCGGGGAAAGUCAUAGAUA